rnacentral:rRNA from 1 species
AGCAGUGGGGAAUUUUGGACAAUGGGCGCAAGCCUGAUCCAGCAAUGCCGCGUGAGUGAAGAAGGCCUUCGGGUUGUAAAGCUCCUUUGUCAGGGAAGAAACGGUGAGGGCUAAUAUCUCUUGCUAAUGACGGUACCUGAAGAAUAAGCACCGGCUAACUACGUGCCAGCAGCCGCGGUAAUACGUAGGGUGCAAGCGUUAAUCGGAAUUACUGGGCGUAAAGCGUGCGCAGGCGGUUUUGUAAGUUUGUCGUGAAAGCCCCGGGCUCAACCUGAGAAUUGCGAUGAAGACUGCAAGGCUUGAAUCUGGCAGAGGGGGGUAGAAUUCCACGUGUAGCAGUGAAAUGCGUAGAGAUGUGGAGGAACACCGAUGGCGAAGGCUGCCCCCUGUUCAAGAUUGACGCUCAUG